rnacentral:rRNA from 1 species
AACGAACGCUGGCGGCAGGCUUAACACAUGCAAGUCGAACGCAUCCUUCGGGGUGAGUGGCAGACGGGUGAGUAACGCGUGGGAACGUGCCCUUCAGUUCGGAAUAACCCAGGGAAACUUGGGCUAAUACCGGAUACGUGCGAGAGCAGAAAGAUUUAUCGCUGAAGGAUCGGCCCGCGUCUGAUGAGCUAGUUGGUGGGGUAAUGGCCCACCAAGGCGACGAUCAGUAGCUGGUCUGAGAGGAUGAUUAGCCACAUUGGGACUGAGACACGGCCCAAACUCCUACGGGAGGCAGCAGUGGGGAAUAUUGGACAAUGGGCGCAAGCCUGAUCCAGCCAUGCCGCGUGAGUGAUGACGGCCUUAGGGUUGUAAAGCUCUUUCGUCCGGGACGAUAAUGACGGUACCGGAAGAAGAAGCCCCGGCUAACUUCGUGCCAGCCGCCGCCGUAA